AAGAGAAUAAGUAUUGCACUCGCAAUUAGUUAAUGCCGACUCAACUUCAAUUGAACGACUAUAGCCUUCAAUACUAAUUCAACAAUAAGUAUUGCGUGGUUUGCAUUUUGAUGGAUAUAAUUAUGGAGUCAAGAAUCCCGAAAAAACGAGAUACGGCUGCAUCAAGAAGAAAUGUUCUGUCAAGCUACUGAUCAAUGCUUCGCAUGACCCAAAGACUAUCAAAAUAGUCGGACAACAUAGCUGCUAUAAAUCAACACAUCAAUCUUUGGCAAAGCGCUUAUUACGAGUGGCUCUAAAAGAUAAAGCUUCUAGUGCUCCCCCAAAAACUUAUCCUAAAGAUAUUUUUGAU